UUCACUUCCGAGUCUAUGUUUUCAUAUACCCUUUAUAAUUGAAGUCGAUGAAUGUAUUAGGCUUUGGCCAAUAAAACAAUACAACUUUCAACAAUGGAUCUCUUGGUUCUCGCAUCGAUGAAGAACGCAGCGAAUUGCGAUAUGUAAUGUGAAUUGCAGAAUUCAGUGAAUCAUCGAAUCUUUGAACGCACCUUGCGCCCUUUGGUAUUCCGAAGGGCAUGCCUGUUUGAGUGUCAUUAAAUUCUCAACUUCAACACUUUUUUGUAUUGAAGCUUGGAUGUUGGAGGGUCUUGCGGGCAUAUAUUAAUGUCAGCUCCUCUUAAAUGCAUUAGCAGAACCUGUGUUCGGCUCUGGUUUGAUAAUCCUAUCUAUGCCAUUGCUGAAAUCUCAUUGUUCAG
rnacentral:rRNA from 1 species